rnacentral:misc_RNA from 1 species
GGCGGUGGUGGGUUUGGAGAGGUGUUCAAGGCCACAUUGAAGGAUGGAUCAAGUGUUGCAAUCAAGAAGCUCAUAAGAUUGAGCUGCCAAGGAGAUCGAGAAUUCAUGGCUGAAAUGGAAACUCUAGGGAAGAUAAAGCAUAGAAACCUUGUCCCUUUACUUGGUUACUGCAAAGUUGGAGAGGAGAGACUACUUGUCUACGAGUUUAUGGAGUAUGGAAGCCUGGAU